ensembl:lncRNA
GGAUGUUGUAGUGGCAACUGCUGUUGAGGUACCAGCUGCAGUUGUGGUGGCAUUGGCUGUUGUAGUGUGGGCUGCAGUUGUGGUGACAGGUGAAGUUUUAGUAGCAGCUGCAGUUGUAGUAGCAGCCUCUGUUGUAAGAGUGACUGCAGUUGUGGUGGCAGAAAUUGUUGAAGUGUGGGUGGCAGUUGUGGUUUUAGGGGAAGUUGUAGUGGCAACUGCUGUUGUAGUACCAGCUGCAGUUGUGGUGGCAUUGGCUGUUGUAGUACCAGCUGCAGUUGAGGUGGCAUUGGCUGUUGUAGUAUGGGCUGCAGUUGUGGUUAGAGGGGAAGUUGUAGUGGCAACUGAUGUUGAGGUACCAGCUGCAGUUGUGGUGGCAUUGGCUGUUGUAGUGUGGGCUGCAGUUGUGGUGACAGGUGAAGUUGUAGUUGCAGCUGCAGUUGUAGUGUUAGCCUCUGUCGUAAGAGUGGCGGCA